GUUAUAGGGUCAAGCGAACAAGUGCAUGUGGUGGAUGCCUUGGCGAUCACAGGCGAUGAAGGACGCGGUAGCCUGCGAAAAGCUACGGGGAGCUGGCAAACAAGCUUUGAUCCGUA
rnacentral:rRNA from 8 species